rnacentral:rRNA from 1 species
AAAUAGAACUUUGCAGAGAGAGUUAAGAGGGCGUGAACCGUUAAUUGGCAAACGAAUCGGAGCCACGAAGUCGUUUCGUCGUUUAGUCUGGACCAGGUUCAGCGGCGCUCGAGAGGGCGCCGUGCACUCCUGGGUCCGGCCAAACUUUGUAAGCGUACACUGCAACCAGUUAGACGAUCAGCCGUGGGCACAGUGCUUGGGGCCAGGCGGCAACGCCUCGGCCACUUGUGCGCAGCAAUUGUUCGCCUCCGGUAGUAGUAGUGCGGUCGCGUUUCGGCGCUUCUCGUGUUGCUGGCCGGUGUGCGAGUGAGCUACGGCUGAAUACUGACUGGCGAAAUGAAAAUCACCUCAACGAGGUGUUAGAGACAAAGCGCCAGCCGCAUGUGGGCCUACACGGCCGACUGCAGGGUCUAAGCUUGGCGUUCUUGAAUUCAGACUUGCUAGCUACCAGUGGGGCAACUCCUGGUGCUUGUAUAGCCUCUGUCUAAUCGGGCGUCGACUUGGCCGUGCAUGCGUUCGGUCGUGCUACGUUGGGGUCUGCAUGCGAGUUGGUUCGCAAUGUUGAUUGGCAGUGAGUAGGUCGGCUUUCCGAACGACCCGUCUUGAAACACGGACCAAGGAGUCUAAUUAGGCAUCGAGUCGAUCGGUCUUGCAUAGGCCAGACAGGAGGUCCUCGCGACCUCCGACUGAAGGCGUAGAGAAAUCAAAUCGUGUGAUCGCCUGGGCAAUACCAGCCUGGGCGCGCAACAUGUGCCUGUUCGUAUGGCAAUGUCGCAAGACUUGUCGGGCGGAGCAGAGAGAUGCCUGAUUGGGACCCGAAAGAUGGUGAACUAUGCUUGGGCAAAUUGAAGCCAGAGGAAACUCUGGUGGAGGAUUGUAGCGAUUCUGACGUGCAAAUCGAUCGUCAGACCUGAGUAUAGGGGCGAAAGACUAAUCGAACCAUC